GACGAACGCUGGCGGCGUGCUUAACACAUGCAAGUCGAACGGAAAGGCCCCCAUCUUGGUGGGGGUGCUCGAGUGGCGAACGGGUGAGUAACACGUGGGUGAUCUGCCCUGUACUUCAGGAUAAGCUUGGGAAACUGGGUCUAAUACCGGAUAGGACCAUGGUUUAGUGUCUCAUGGUGGAAAGAUUAUUGUUUUGGUGCAGGAUGAGCUCGCGGCCUAUCAGCUUGUUGGUGGGGUAAUGGCCUACCAAGGCGUCGACGGGUAGCCGGCCUGAGAGGGUGGACGGCCACAUUGGGACUGAGAUACGGCCCAGACUCCUACGGGAGGCAGCAGUGGGGAAUAUUGCACAAUGGGCGCAAGCCUGAUGCAGCGACGCCGCGUGGGGGAUGACGGCCUUCGGGUUGUAAACUCCUUUCGUUAGGGACGAAGCCGCACUUUUUUUGGGUGUGGUGACGGUACCUUUGUUAAGAAGCACCGGCUAACUACGUG
rnacentral:rRNA from 1 species